rnacentral:lncRNA from 1 species
AGACAACACGCCUUGUGCAAUAAUAUUCUGGCUUCUUCCAGUUUUAAGAACCGUUGUGAUUACACUGGGCCCAUCCAGAUAACUCAGGAUAAUCUCCCAACUGGUGUCCUGAACUUGAUCACACCUGCAGGGUCCUUUUGCCACAUCAAGUAAUAUCUUCACAGUUUCUGGAGGUCAGGACGUGAACAUCCUUGGGCUCCAUUAUUUUUGUUACCACAGGUGACUUCCUCAGAAAAGAGACUCCUCUCAAGUUUUCUCCAUGUUCGCGCCCCUCGUGAUUGAAGGCCCAAGUCCCUGGGCACUGCCUGGAAGCCGUGCUGUUGUUGCUGGCCCUCCUGCUCCUCUCAGGUCCUGCCUGCGGCAUCCAAGGUAAGACCCAGCCUCUGCCAGCCUCUCCCUACCCAUCCCAGCCCCUCCCGUCCCAGCCCAGCACGCAGCCCUGGCCUCCACACCUGCCCGCUGCAGCGCUGGACCAGACGUUUGAAGCGGCGGGCUCGGGCCCAGGAGCUGUGCUGCUGCCUCCCCUCCUGCUCCCUCUCUCCUGAUACACACCGUCCUCCGGAGACGCAGGGCCCAGGCGGCUCCUACCCCUACAUCAGGGGGGAGGAGCGGGGGAGACCCAGGCC